AGGAGGCCCUGGCUGCCAGCCAGCAUCAACUUCCAGUGACGUGAGUGUGCCAUUCUGGAACUGGAUCCUGCAGCCUCGGUGGAGCAGCCUCAGCUGAUGCCAUGUGGAACAGAGAUGAACUGCCGCUGCCGAGCUCUGCCCACGUUGCAGAAUCAUGAGCAAAUAUGUUGUGGAUUGGCUGUAACUCUGCUCUGGGAUCCAGGCUGAAGGAGCAGGCUCUAUCUGGAACAUUACUAGUCUCCAGGCAGAAGAAAAAGAGACAAUGGAAUGGAUGAUUGAAUGGAUGAAUGAACUCCACAGGAAGAUGAGGAAAGCCUUUAUGGAUGGAGUGAGCUUGCAGCAGAGUCUCAAAGGAAGAAAUAAAACAAACUUCUACAUGGCAAAAUAAACCUCUACAUGGCAAAAUAAACCUCUACAUGGCAAAAUAAACCUCUACAUGGAUAGAGAUCUG
rnacentral:lncRNA from 1 species